UGUAGCCUGGUUGUUAGGGGUUCGACGUUCGAGACGUGUUCUGCUGGCCCCCCCAGCAGAUAAAUGAUAAACAUAUAUCAGCCCCGGCUGAUAAAUGUUCAGUGCGUUUUUAAAUAGUUAACAGGUACCAUAAUUUAAUACCUAAUGAAUGACAGAUCCUUUCAGUCUUGAUGGUGAAAGCAAGAUGGUGUUGGGAACACAGUGACUCAGAGUUGUUUACCUUUUGAGAACAUUCUGUGUCAGCUUCAAUUCACCCAAGUAAUCAAUAAUCACUUUUGUGUCUUCCCUAAAGCAAACGAUUCUAGCAGCUGCUUGCUUCAUUUGAAUCCAGUUGACAGUCACAUUUACCAGCUGUUCCUAGUUUAAUGGGUGGAUACUGUGUAGUAUGAGUAACAGUUAGCUUCAUCUGAUUUAAGUGAAAGAAAUAUUAAGGGAAAAACGACUCUUUGGAAACAACCAUGUACCAAUCCUUUACUCAAAAAAAAAAAAAAAAAAGAAGAGCUUAUCAUGGUGCUGUAAUAGUAUGUUUGCAGAAUUGCGAAAUUGCUUGCCUGAAGAAUGUGCUCAGCAUUGAAAAAUGUGCGCAGCAAAAACGGUUGGUCGCAAUUCUAAACGUCAAAUGUACAGAUUUCCCGGUUGGAUGAGCGAGUAUUGAAGGAGAUGGAAAAAUAUUCGUUGUAAUUCACGGAAGAAGAAUACAUCCUCGACGUCACUUCUGUGCUGCAGAAAAAUCAGCAAAUCUACAUCCUGAUUUUCUGCCGUUCCGUCAGUCACUCCAAUGCUUUCGACAAUAGGACAACAGCAGCAUUCUUCAAUCAGACUGCUCCUGAUUGUCUUGAAGAUGAAUUGCUCUUCAUGCUCGGUGAGAAAUUUCACAGGACUGCUUUGAAAAUUGGUAUCACCUUAACGAAGCAGAUUUAGAUAACAUGUCAACUGUGAAAUCGAUCAUGUGUCUGUUACCAAAAAUGGCUCUCUCCGUUCGCGACAUCAGACCUCCCCAGACCUCUCCAGUGUGUCAUUCUGAUGCAAAGCUCCUGAAAUGGAGUGGAACGUUUUGAACCAUCUCAGGCUAAAGUUCAAGUUCUAGAGGUAUUAGGAAAGUGGUUGCUUUUUGGUUAGAUUUUCUUCACCGUCAGAUGCAUCCAUCGGAAUGUUGUUCACUUCCUCGUCAUCAUUGCUCACAAAACUUUUAUGCAUUGUUCUUGUCUCAAAGUUAUAUCGACUCGCAAACGACAAAUCCUUGGCACGAAGAACGGAAAUUUAAUGCAUUAGCAAGUCAUCUGCAUCUAAACAGAUCAAACGCACGAGAUAUCCCGCCUCGUCCGGCAACUUACCAUCCAGCAACGCAUCCAUCAACAGAGUGUUAAAGAGGAAACUAAUUGACUACAUGCCGACUAGACGAUUUCCAUGCAAGACGAAUGUUAAAAUCCAAAGAGGUGAGCAGGAUGCAGCGAACUAUGUCAUGUCAAACCAUUAGCUGAAUAUGAAUACUAUCAGUUCUCCAGAACGAGAGGUCUACAUAGGUUAAUAAUCAUACUGAAUCAAAAGAGGUACAUACUUGAACGAGAUUUUAAAAUAAUAACGGCUGGAAUUCCAUGUGGAAAUUUCGAAGAACGCUACCUGCACGUUACCUUUAGUCGAUGAUUCAUCUCGAAGAUAAAAUAUGAAAAUUUUUAUAAAUUUUAGUGCAUAUCUGGGCUCCCUUCUUUUCUGUGGCCCCGUUUCCCCUUGACUUGUGAUAAGCCCGUAGCGGGUCAUGCCGUUACUGUGAUCAGCAGCAAAGGUUGUGAGUGCGCUGUCCGGAAAGGGGACGUGGGGGUCCUCAAGUUCUAUGAUAUCAUUGGAGGGCGAAGAGGCUACCCACAAAUCCGAAUUAACGGUUAAUCGCUCACGUAAAAACUUGUCCGAAACCUUCCAUCCUCUUCCGGCUUCUCUUAGCCACCCACCGGGUAAUCUCCCCGGUGAAUCAACUGAGGUAGUGGAUCUCACUACCUUGGUUGACGCAAAAAGUUAUAUAUCACUACAGAAUUGUUCAAACAAAUUUUAAAUUUUUUUUUACUUUUGUGAUAUGUUAGUUAGCAUUUCUUCUUGUGCAAUGCACUUGUUCUAUUACGGUUUAUCUGAACAAGGUCUGUGUCCUCUUGAAACUUCGUUCAAAUACGUGAAUUUACAUGUUUACCCAUACAGACUAAGUCAUAUGAUUUUAACCUCUUCCACAACUUUCUUUUGACUUAAUUUGUUCAUGUAAACACUGUUUGAAAGUAUCAUAUUGGCGUUCGAUUAA